rnacentral:rRNA from 1 species
AACGAACGCUGGCGGCACGUUUUAAGCAUGCAAGUCGAAUGGCAGCAGGGGGCAACUCUGUGAGAAUGGCGAACGGGUGAGUAACACGUAGGUGAUCUGCCUUGAGGAUGGGGAUAGCCUGUGGAAACACAGGGUAAUACCGAAUGAGCUGACGAGACUUUGGUUUUGUUAGUAAAGGUGCUACGGCACCGCCUUGAGAGGAGCCUGCGGCUGAUUAGCUAGUUGGUGGGGUAAGAGCUUACCAAGGCGACGAUCAGUAGCCGGCCUGAGAGGGUGUAAGGCCACACUGGAACUGAGACACGGGCCAGACUCCUACAGGAGGCAGCAGCUAAGAAUCUUCCGCAAUGGGCGAAAGCCUGACGGAGCGAUGCCGCGUUAUCGAUGAAGGUCGAGAGAUUGUAAAGAUCUUUUCUACAUGAGGAAUAAGUCUGGGAGGGAAUGCCCGGAUGAUGACGUUAGUGUAGGAAUAAGCCCCGGCUAAUUACGUGCCAGCAGCCGCCGUAA